rnacentral:rRNA from 2 species
UAGAAUUCCACGUGUAGCAGUGAAAUGCGUAGAGAUGUGGAGGAAUACCGAUGGCGAAGGCAGCCUCCUGGGAUAACACUGACGUUCAUGCUCGAAAGCGUGGGUAGCAAACAGGAUUAGAUACCCUGGUAGUCCACGCCCUAAACGAUGACAAUUAGCUGUUGGGACACUAGAUGUUUUAGUAGCGAAGCUAACGCGUGAAAUUGUCCGCCUGGGGAGUACGGUCGCAAGAUUAAAACUCAAAGGAAUUGACGGGGACCCGCACAAGCGGUGGAUGAUGUGGAUUAAUUCGAUGCAACGCGAAGAACCUUACCUGGUCUUGACAUGUACGGAAUCUCUUAGAGAUAGGAGAGUGCCUUCGGGAACCGUAACACAGGUGCUGCAUGGCUGUCGUCAGCUCGUGUCGUGAGAUGUUGGGUUAAGUCCCGCAACGAGCGCAACCCUUGUCAUUAGUUGCCAUCAUUAAGUUGGGCACUCUAAUGAGACUGCCGGUGAUAUGCCGGAGGAAGGUGGGGAUGACGUCAAGUCCUCAUGGCCCUUAUGACCAGGGCUUCACACGUCAUACAAUGGUCGGUACAGAGGGUAGCGAAGCCGCGAGGUGAAGCCAAUCUCAGAAAGCCGAUCGUAGUCCGGAUUGCACUCUGCAACUCGAGUGCAUGAAGUCGGAAUCGCUAGUAAACGCAGGUCAGCAUAC